AUUAUUAAGUAACGCUGGGGGUCCACCUUGGGAAAUCCCUGGUUUGUGACUCUCUGGAGCAGUCUCCGCGCGACGGCCAGGAGAGCUAGAAUGCCCCUCUUUCUAAAUCAUGGGGCCUGGGGCAUGGCCGUUCUUGCGGGGGGGGGCGGGUGUGUCCUGACUUAAGUAAGGGUGCACUCUCUUGUUUUUAUAAAAAAAGGGGACAAGUUUGAGGCCCGUUCACAGGGGGGAAGAAAUUGGCAAAUAAAAGGGGCAAAAAAAAAAAAAUCCCCCCCCCCCCCCAAAUAUUUUUUUUUAACCCCCCUAAACCGAAUGACCCCCCCCGCCGGGAAAUUUUAAAUUCCCCAGGCCGGCUUUUUAAAUUUUUUUUUUAAACCCCUGGAACCUUGCAAACCUUUUCCGGGGAAAAACCAAAAAGUUUUUUCGUUUUCCGGGGGAAAAGAAGGGUUGCCCAAAGCUGAAAACUUUAAGGGAAUUUGAGGGAAGGGGCCCCCCCCCAGGAGUUGGACCCCCUCGCUU
rnacentral:rRNA from 1 species